UACGUAGGGGGCAAGCGUUGUCCGGAUUUAUUGGGCGUAAAGAGCGUGUAGGCGGUUAGGUAGGUCCGUUGUGAAAACUCGAGGCUCAACCUCGAGACGCCGAUGGAAACCAUCUGACUAGAGUCCGGAAGAGGAGAGUGGAAUUCCUGGUGUAGCGGUGAAAUGCGCAGAUAUCAGGAAGAACACCAAUGGCGAAGGCAGCUCUCUGGGACGGUACUGACACUGAGACGCGAAAGCGUGGGGAGCGAACAGG
rnacentral:rRNA from 1 species